rnacentral:rRNA from 1 species
UACAGAGACCUCAAGCGUUAUCCGGAAUCAUUGGGCGUAAAGCGUACCGAUAGGUGGCUUACAAAGUCAGAAGUGAAAUCUUUAAGCUUAACUUAGAGACUGUCUUUUGAAACUUGUAAGCUAGAGGGGCAAAGAGGAAGCUGGAACGAACGGUGUAGUAGUGAAAUGCGUUGAUAUCGUUCGGAACACCGAUAGCGUAGGCAGGCUUCUGGGUGCCACCUGACACUGCUAGGACGAAAGCGUGGGGAGCGAUAAGG